GCCUGCGACAUUCGCUCCAACCCCAAUGUGACGUUACCAAUCUGUUGCCUCGGCGGGAUCUCUGCCCCGGGCGCGUCGCAGCCCCGGAUCCCAUGGCGCCCGCCGGAGGACCAACCAAACUCUUUUUCUCUCUCCGUCGCGGCUCCGUCGCGGCUCUGUUUUAUUUUUGCUCUGAGCCUUUCUCGGCGACCCUAGCGGGCGUCUCGAAAAUGAAUCAAAACUUUCAACAACGGAUCUCUUGGUUCUGGCAUCGAUGAAGAACGCAGCGAAAUGCGAUAAGUAAUGUGAAUUGCAGAAUUCAGUGAAUCAUCGAAUCAUUGAAAGCAUAUUGCGCCCGCCCUCUUUUCGGACGGAUUGGCUGGUCGUAACGAACAUUCAAACCUGCAAACACGACAGGAGGAUACUGUUAUACGUACUCCAGAACAUUUAAUAUCCCAAAAAGGCAUUUCAUAUGAUGUGGUAAAUUCAACUACUUUCGCUUGAUUUAUACAGCGGUGAUAAAGCAAGUUAGGAUUGUUUAUUAUAAAAAUUUUAAAAUAAAUUCUCAGUUUGGAGAUUGAAGGUAUGCCAUUAACCU
rnacentral:rRNA from 1 species